AUUGCAGGCUGAAACUCGCCUACAUGAAGCUGGAGUUGCUAGUAAUCGCGAAUCAGCAUGUCGCGGUGAAUACGUUCCCGGGCCCUGUACACACCGCCCGUCACACCAUGAGAGUUGGCAAUACCCAACGUACGUGAUCUAACCCGCAAGGGAGGAAGCGUCCUAAGGUAGGGUCAGCGAUUGGGGUGAAGUCGUAACAAGGUAUC
rnacentral:rRNA from 1 species